rnacentral:tRNA from 8 species
GCCGGUGUGUUGGAAUUGGCAGACGAGACGGACUCAAAAUCCGUUGGUGGUGACACCGUAUGGGUUCGACCCCCAUCACCGGCA